UACGUAGGGGGCAAGCGUUAUCCGGAUUUACUGGGUGUAAAGGGAGCGUAGACGGCUCGCCAAGUCUGGUGUGAAAGGCUGGGGCUCAACCCCGGGACUGCAUUGGAAACUGGCGGGCUGGAGUGCCGGAGGGGUAAGCGGAAUUCCUGGUGUAGCGGUGAAAUGCGUAGAUAUCAGGAGGAACACCGGUGGCGAAGGCGGCUUACUGGACGUGCACUGACGUUAAGGCUCGAAAGCGUGGGGAGCAAAC
rnacentral:rRNA from 1 species